rnacentral:rRNA from 1 species
UAGGGAAUCUUCGGCAAUGGGGGCAACCCUGACCGAGCAACGCCGCGUGAGUGAAGAAGGUUUUCGGAUCGUAAAGCUCUGUUGUAAGAGAAGAACGUGUGUGAGAGUGGAAAGUUCACACAGUGACGGUAACUUACCAGAAAGGGACGGCUAACUACGUGCCAGCAGCCGCGGUAAUACGUAGGUCCCGAGCGUUGUCCGGAUUUAUUGGGCGUAAAGCGAGCGCAGGCGGUUUAAUAAGUCUGAAGUUAAAGGCAGUGGCUUAACCAUUGUUCGCUUUGGAAACUGUUAAACUUGAGUGCAGAAGGGGAGAGUGGAAUUCCAUGUGUAGCGGUGAAAUGCGUAAAUAUAUGGAGGAACACCGGUGGCGAAAGCGGCUCUCUGGUCUGUAACUGACGCUGAGGCUCGAAAGCGUGGGGAGCAAACAGG